rnacentral:rRNA from 1 species
AUUGAACGCUGGCGGAAUGCUUUACACAUGCAAGUCGAACGGCAGCGCGGGCUUCGGCCUGGCGGCGAGUGGCGAACGGGUGAGUAAUAUAUCGGAACGUACCCAAGAGUGGGGGAUAACGUAGCGAAAGUUACGCUAAUACCGCAUACGAUCUAAGGAUGAAAGCAGGGGACCGCAAGGCCUUGUGCUCCUGGAGCGGCCGAUAUCUGAUUAGCUAGUUGGUGGGUAAAGGCCUACCAAGGCAUCGAUCAGUAGCCGGUCUGAGAGGACGACCAGCCACACUGGGACUGAGACACGGCCCAGACUCCUACGGGAGGCAGCAGUGGGGAAUUUUGGACAAAUGGGGGGCAACCCUGAUCUAGCAAUGCCGCGUGAGUGAAGAAGGCCUUCGGUUGUAAA